UGAGCAGAAUAAAUUACGCAUUAAUUAUAUUAAAUUAGCAAUUUGACUUUGAUCGCCUUUUUUGCUAACCAUCUUGUAUAUACCACGUGUGCACAAUAUAAUUUUGAAUUUUUAAGAUUGCUGUCAGUUUUUUUUAUUGUUGGCCUAAGUAUUUUGUUCUUCGGUAUGUUGUCUGCUUAAUCCCUUGUAUUACAGUAUACAGUCUUGAAAAAGGAUUCUUAUUUUAAAAAGCAAUGAUAAUUCAUAGUAAAAAGCUUAGUGGCGCAGAAAACCGAAAACGAACCCAUGCAAAAAAUGAAGCUCAAGCAAAAAUACUUUUAAAGACUGCUAAGUUAGAAACAUAUUUUAGCUUUACAGAUAAACAGCUUCACACAUCGCCGGUUGAAAAUGUAAAUAAUACAAGCGAUGAAAAUGAUCACAGCUUUAUUGUUAAUGAGAAUAACCUAUCAAAUCCAGACGAUUUAAUAUUAAUAUUAUCAAGUAAGAGCUGUACUGAAACUAGUAAAACUCUAUUGACUCCAGAAUCCAAAGAACUAAAUGAAACACCCUGUUUGUCCAUGCAUGAACAUAAC